AACGAACGCUGGCGGCAUGCUUAACACAUGCAAGUCGAACGAAACCUCCGGGUCUAGUGGCGCACGGGGGCGUAACGCGGGGGAACCUGCCCUUAGGUUCGGAAUACCUCCCUGAGAGGUAUGUUAAUAACGGUGAAUGUCAUCGGACCUAAGAUCUACUGCUUUUGGAUGGGCGCGCGUUGGAUUCGCCAGUUGGUAGGGUAUAAGCAUACCAAGGGCACGUUCCAUGGCUGGUCUGAGAGGAUGACCAGCCACACUGGGGCUGCGACACGGACCAGACUCCUACGGAAGGGAGGAGUGGGGAAUAUAGGGGGAGGGACGAAGGCCUGAUACAGCAGUGCCGCGUAAGUGGUGAAGGCGUUAGGGUUGUGAAGCUCUUUUAGCCGGGAUGAUAGUGACAGUACCGGGAGAAUAAGCACCGGCUAACUACGUG
rnacentral:rRNA from 1 species